AGCGAUGCUGGGAUCCUGGGACGCUCUCAAGGCUUGAGAGCAGUCGAUUGAAGGGGGAAGUUCCUGUCCCUAUGUAGACAAAAUGGAUGGAUUUGUAGCAGAACUCUCUUGCUACACAAGGGAUCUUUGACUAGCGAGUCCGCUUCUUUGUGGGUUUUAAGGCUCUGAGACAACAAUCAAAGAAACUGGACCUUGAAAAGGAAGCGUGUGACAGUCAUUCUUCACCCAAGAAGCUAUAGUUCUGUGAGCCAUCU
rnacentral:lncRNA from 1 species